rnacentral:rRNA from 1 species
GUCUAUGGCCAUACCACCCUGAACGCGCCCAAUCUCGUCUGAUCUCGGAAGCUAAGCAGGGUCGGGCCUGGUUAGUACUUGGAUGGGAG